GGACUCAAAAUCAACGUUAAACCAAACAUUUUAUCAUUCACAUCCAUCGGGCAGAAACUUUCUUUUGUGUUGAAGGUUAAUGGACGGAUGGUUGAAGACAUAGUCUCUGCUUCGUUAGUGUGGGAUGACGGUUUACAUAAAGUGAGGUCCCCCAUUAUUGUGUAUGCAGUCCAAUAAAAUUCCAAAAGCCUGGUGUUUUGUAGCAGAAGCAUCGGAAUUGUGGUAUCUAUCAUGUUGAACUAAAUGAUGUGGUAUCUAUAUAAGAUGGAAAUAAAUGAUAAUAUUUAGUAUCGGUUGUAUUACCUGUCCAUACGAGCUAUUAGAUCGAAUACCAAUCGCACGAGCGACUUGAACGCCCGGUAGACCCGAAGGUUCGUUCUCAAUACCCUUCUUUCUCCUCUCCCGGCCACUUUUCUCCUAGGCGGCCAGGCCCAUCCUUUCUUUUUGCUCUCCCUAGGCACUUUUCUCCGGGGCCCACCGCACCUUUAUGUGAUACUUUAAGGACGUAGCUUUAUCAUGGUUGAAAUUAUUGCCAAAACAUAUAUAUUUAAAUAAUAAUCAAAUAAAAAUUUCAUAAUUAGACUAAUUUUAUUCAAAUAUACACUUAAAUAAAAGUCAAAUAAGAACUCCAUAGUUAUUUUCUUUUUAAAAAAAAUCUUUUAUGGGACAAGUUAUUGUUGAAAGUACAUGUAUCAAAUUUCAUGCCUUUUUUUGUUUCUCUUUAUUUUAUUAAUUUCUUAUUUUAAAAAUAUUUUUAUAUAUUUUAAAUUUUUUUCUACAAAUGUACUUAUGUAGAAAAAUUAAAAUUAAUUACAGUGAAAUAUAUUUGUACCAAUCUUCAAGAGGAGUGAAUAAAAUUAAUCUUUUUAAACAAAUCAACAUACCUUGAAAAUAACCUAAAAAUAUUUUAAAAGAACUUUUGGAAAUAAUUUUGUUCUAAUUUGGAAAAAAAAUUAUAAUUAAAUUUAAAUAAAAAUUAUUUCAUUAAAAAUGUCGUCAUCUUUGAUAUAUCUGAGGGUUUUUGGCAUUUUUUCGGUUUCCAUGUCAUGAUUAUUUAUUAAUUUGUAAUUUUAAAAUUCUUUUUAAAAUUUUUUUUACUCCUAAAAGAUAAGAUAAAAGACUCAUACCUCAAUUUUGUUUCAUCAAAAUUUGAAAAAAAAAAUUGAAAUAUAUAUAUAUAUAUAUAUAUAUAUAUAUAUAUAUAUAUAUAUAUAUAUAUAUAUAUAUAUUAGUUUUAAUUAGAGAAACAAAUUAUUUAUUUAUUAUUAAAAAAGAUUGGCUUUUAAGAUUAAAUGCUUAUAAUAUGCCAAUCACUAAAAUAAUAAAAAAUAAUUCAAAAAAAAAAAAAACCUCUAAUAUGCACUCUGUCAACAAUACAUUUGUAUUGAUUUUACAACGUAGGUAUAAAACAUUUUGUUGUGAAUAUGUUACAAGAUACUUGAAAAGUGUAGUCCUAUAAAUUUGUUUUAAGAUGAUUUUACUUAAUUCUUCAAAAAUGGAAAGACCAUUCAUGGUAUUUUCUUUGUAUUCACAAUUAAAAAGAGUGCAUGGGACCAUGUAAAAGGGAAUACAUUCUCUAUUUUAAAGGAAUGAGUUUCUUCUCCCACACCCAAGAGAAUUUGACAUUGUGGAAUAAUUUUUACUUAGGGCCUGUUUGGAAAGUGUUCUUGAAAACUGUUUUUUGUUUUCUAGAACAAAAAAGGAUGUUUCUAUUCUCCGUGUUUUCCAUGUUCUCAAAACCCUGUUUUCUGAUAACAACUUCAAGUUGUUUUCCCUGUUUUUUUGCACCAUUUAGAGGAAAAAAGAGGUGGUUGUUCUCCGUGUUUUCAAAAGGGUGUUCUCCUUGUUCUCGUGUCUCUCUUUCUUAGGUAAAACGUGUUAGCCUUAACCCUUUAAAAUCAAACCCAAUUUGAUAGUUCUGAGAGUAGAGAAAGAGUAAUUUAGAGGCUUUCCUAUUGAAUUUUCACCCCUCGACGGCAGCUACAGUAGCCACGGCCACCGCAAUCACAUGGCGUUGCUCGGCGGCGGCAGCAGCAGAGACAUCAUCAUUCACUGGUGCAACACCACCACCAUCAUUGAUGCUGACGAAAGCUGCAACCUUUCAUUGGGUUUGUGGCGAUGCGGUUUCUUGGUUCGUGGGUUUCCGGAAGAUCAAUCUCCGUUUCUCUAUUUUCUACGCAAAACCCAGCAAACACCACUAUUGCAUCCAUCUACCCACCACUUCAAAUAGACCAAAAAACAGAAUAAAUUCAAAAAUUUCAACAAGAAAAAAUCUCAAACCUUUUCUUCAUCUUCCUCCCGGUCAUGUUCCUCUCUUCUUCUACCACCUCUCUUAUCAGUCUCUUUGGUAGGAGAUCUGAAAGCCCUUUUCACAGCAAUCAACCAUGAACUUCCCCCCUUCUUCCCCAUAACCUAGCCGCAUUUACAGCAACCCAGCUAAACCGAACUCCACAAAACAAGCAGCAGGAGUAUAAUUUCAAUGAUGUUUUGACCUAAAACAUGUAUUAGUAUAAUCUAUUUAUGAUUAAAAUAUAUAUUUUUAAAAUGAUUAAGAAGUUUAUCUUUUGUGUGAAUAAAAUAUUAUUAAAAUUAAGUAUAAUUAUACAUGUUUAUAAAGUAAUUAUUUAAAAAAAAUUAUAAUUGAUGUAAAAAUUUUAAAAUCAAAUAAAUUUUAAAUUCAAAUGAAGUAUAAAUUCAAAAAUUAUUUAUAUAUUUAUAAUAUCAAAUUAAUGAAAAAAAACUUACUAAUAAAUAAAUAAAAAGCAACUCCAAACAUGCUUUUUUUUGUUUUACUUAUUUUAAAAAAAAUAUUAAUUCAACAAAACAUAUUUUUUUAUUAACUCAACCAAACAUGUUUUUUUUUUUUAGAACAAAAACUAUUUUUCAGAAUUCAGUUCCCAAACACAAUUUUUUUUUUUGAAUACGCAAAAAAUUGUUCUUAAAAACUGUUCUCAAAAAUUGUUUUCCUGAACAGUUUUCGAAAACACCAACCAAACAGGCCUUAGUCAUCCAUGUACAAAACAUUUGUUUCGAUUUGUGAAAGACAUUUUGGAUAUAAGAAAACAUUGUACAUCAAAUAAGGACCCAUUGUUAUGUUCGCCCUAAUAUAAAAUUCCAAAAUCUUCGUGUUGGUAUCAACGCAUUGGAAUUGUGAUAUAUAUAAAAUUGAAAACAAAUGGUGUGACAUGAGUAAGAUGGAAACAAAAGAGAAAAUUGUAAGCUUAUAAUAUUAAGGAAAUUUGGAAUUAAUUUUAAAAUAAAAUGUGUCAUUAAUUAUUUGACUAGUUUUUUGUAUAUGACAUGGAGGGUUGUUUCUCAACGUAACGUCGUAACACAUUGCUUAUUAAUAGGAUAUGUGAAUAUUAGUUGUGGAUUAACACCUAGAGCCAGCUUGAGGUUGAUUGUGGUGUUAUAAAACUUUCAAAAAAAGACUCAUAAAUGUAGUCUUCCUCUAUUUUAUCUUUUUCUUAAUUUUUCUAAUAAAUAUAUAGACCACAUUACAAAUCAUGUAACAAUACAAUCUCCUACAUAGUUUAAUCAAUGUAAGUCAUAUGCCGAAAAAAAAUCAAUACUCCUAGUAUAGGAAAUAAUGACUUAUUCAUAAAUACGAAUCUUAUGCUAUAAUUAAAUCAAAAAUAGAAAUUAAAGAAUAAUAAAGAGACGAAAAAAUACAUGAAUAUAAGGUGAAAAAUCUUUAAGGAGAUAAAGAACUAUGAACCAAUCUUAAUUAAUUACAACAUCUAUUAUAAAGGAAAUGUCUGGUUCAAGAUUUUACUUAAUAUACGGCUUCCAAUUCUCUCCAAGGCCAUUUGUUUAGUAUUUUAGGGAUCUUAACUUUCCACCGUCUCCAUGUGAAACUUUUUUGGAACCCCUUCAAACCUGAUUUUGGACUCUUUUUGAUAUCCACAGAAAAAUACAUUUAACCAAAAUGAGAGUAUGAACAAAAAUAAUGGAAUUAAAUGGUAGUAAAUAAAUCUAUUAAAUAUAUAUAUAAAAAAUGUAUAUAAAAUUACUUCAUCAAGAUGUGAAUACAAAGUAAACACCAUGAAUGGUCUUCCCAUCCCUGGAGAAUUAAGUGAAAUCAUCAAAUAGUGGAUGUUGUAAAACUUCCUUUCAUCAAAUAGUGGCCGUUCAUUUUCCAGUUUAUUUUUUUAUUAUAUUUUUAAAAAUAAAUCAUUUGAAAUGUCGUGUAAGGAGUAACUCAAGCAUUUGAAAAUAAUAUAUAUUGGACUUUGUAGGUUGAUCAUCAAAUGUGUAUCAUAAGGUUUAAGCGGUUAGAUUUGUAUCUCGAUUGUUGAAAGUGUACAAUAAAGUUUAAAUCAUCAAUGAUGAUGAUGCAAGUAAUGGAAUUAAGUAUAAAAAAAUAAAAUUAAGGUAACAGUGACAAAAUCAAAGUAUAAAAUAAUGAGACAAAAUUCGGUAUAAAGAAAUGAAAUUAUAAUAUAGACGUUGAUUAUUUGUGCUUUUUAAUACUUAUCAUCGAUUCAGUGUUACAGAGGGGCCUACGAUGAUUAAAAGAGGAGGAUUGAAAGGCUCAGGUAUAUAUACAUGUCCAAAGCAUCAGAAUGUGCAUAGCUUACCAUCUAAUGGCAAGAAAAAACUCUUUUCUCUGGUUUCUCCUUCUUAGUCUCAUCUGCACUCUGGUCUGUACCCACAGUACUGCAGCAGCUUCGGAGGAUGAUGGUCGAAAAGCAAUAUACACCCAUCUCUCUUUUGUUUGUUCUUAAUGGUCUGGUCAUUACAUGAAGCAUGAAGCAUGGGCCAUGGCCUAAUAAUUUUUACAUGCAUGCAUGGCAGAAAAAUUAAGAUUAAUCUUGUGUUGAAAAUCAUGGUUGAGUAGUGUUAAUAAACUGGAUUUGCACCAAAAAUAUUGUGGAUGCAGGAGUAUAUUGUGUAAAUGGGUGCCAAGCCUGCCGGAUUUCUCGGUAUCUGCCAUUCACACUGACAUGCUGCAGCAAGUCUUUGGCAGGCCAGUAUUCACUUUUUUUUUUCCCUAAUUUUUUUAUUACAUAUAUGGUACCUAAUUUUCCCCAUGGAAUGCCUUUCAGCAGUAGGGCAUCAAGUUCUCUGGUCCGCAGUUAAAAAAGGAGUUUCAAUGGAUUCGUAGCGAAACUAACAGAAGAGGAAAUGCAGCAAAUAAAGGGUGGGUGGAAUUCAUCUUUCUGCAAUUAAUUGAAUAUUUCGGAAGUAAUUAACUCGGGCAUGUUACAUAUGGCUAACAAAUAAACUGUAACUUUGGAGUUUCAGGACUGGACGGGGUAGUCUCGAUUUUCCCUAACGAAAAGAAACAGCUCCACACAACAAGGUCGUGGGAUUUCGUGGGGUUUCCCCAACAAGUUAUAAGAACUAGUGUUGAAAACGACAUAAUCAUAGGAGUGUUAGACAGUGUAAUAUGGCCACAGUCUGACAGCUUCGAUGACGAAGGAUUUGGUCCACCGCCUAGCAAAUGGACGGGGACUUGCCAAGGCUUUUCCAAUUUCACUUGCAACAAGUAAAUCUUAUUGACAGAGUGUUUAAAUACCCUGCUAUAGUUAAAAGUUCUAAAAGUUGAAAGACUAUAUAUCCUUAACAAAAGUUUCAAUUAAUGUUAUUGCAGUAAAAUUAUUGGAGCCAAGUACUAUCGGAGCAAUGGACAAUUUAGCAAAGAAGAUUUGCAAUCCCCAAGAGAUUCAGACGGCCACGGGACACACACUGCAUCCACUGCAGCUGGGGGCCUAGUUAACAUGGCAAGUCUCAUGGGCUUUGGCUUAGGGACUGCUCGGGGCGGGGUUCCAUCAGCUCGGAUAGCUGUGUAUAAGAUAUGAUGGUCUGAUGGCUGUUUUGAUGCUGAUAUUCUCGCAGCAUUUGAUGAUGCAGUUGCUGAUGGGGUUGAUAUAAUAUCUAUUUCAGUUGGGGUAAAACUCCCACAAAUUAUUUUGAAGAUCCAAUUGAAAUUGGAGCUUUUCACGCAAUGAAAAAACGGAUACUAACAUCAGCUUCUGCUGGUAACCAUGGACCUCAUCUUGCUUCCAUCACAAAUUUCUUGCCUUAGUCUCUUUCCGUGGCUGCUAGCACCAUAGACCGGGAUUUCUUUACCAAGGUGCAACUAGGCGACAAUAACGUUUUUGAGGUGAGUAAGCUUCAUGGCAGUUCCUUUGCUUACACUUCGAACUAAUAACCAUCACACACAAAUUUUUCAUUUAUUAAAGUUCCAACCAUGUGAAACUGAUUUUUGGAGGUUACAUCAUUGCUCUUUGUGUAGGGAGUUUCAAUAAACACAUUUGAGCUCAAUGACAUGUAUCCUUCCAUUUAUGGUGGAGAUUCCCCGAAUACUGCAGGAGGUAUUAGUGGGAACAGAUCUAGGUACUUAUUAAAGAUCAAAGAAAAAGAGUCAAUGGAUAAUGAAAGCCGUAAGUUAGAAAUCCUGAAUUUUAAAGAGUGUGUGAUAUAUUACAAGACUUUCAUUACUGAAAUGCAGGUUUUGCGAAAUAAACUCGAUGAACCCAAAUUUAGUGAAGGGUAAAAUUGUCCUUUGCAUUGGGCUGGAUAGAGCUGGGCCUAAAGAUGCAUUGAGUGCGUUCUUGGCAGGUGCCGUUGGGACUGUGAUAGCGGAUGGACUCCCCAAAGAUUUCAGCCUCAUUUUUCCCUUGCCUACAUCUCGCCUUACUGCAGGAGAUGGUAAUAGAACUGCCAAGCUACUACAUCAGCUCAACAAGGUAUCAAUUAACACAUCUUCCUACUUUUAUUUGGAGAUGAUUGUAAAUAAUAUAAAUGAUAUGCUAAGGAUUUGUACGGCAUAUAUAUACUCAGUCUUAGUCUUACUACAUUUAAACAGUAACCCAACUGCAUCGAUAUUGAAGAGUAUUGAGGUUAAUGACACAUUGGCCCCAUAUGGACCCUCCUUCUCAUCAAGGGAUCCAAACCCAAUUACACACAAUUGUGGACCCGUUUUUUUCACCUACGUCCCCACUCAAUCGGCGAGACUUGCUUUUAUUUGUGAAAAAUUAUUUUUGGAAAAGUCGGAGUCGCCACUUAUUUUAUUUUAUUUUAAAGGAAAAAUAAAAUAAGAAAUAAAACCCUAAAAAAAAUUACUCCAAAGUUUUUGGAAAAACGUGUCUUUGAAAAAACUUGAGUCUGGAUUUGGGGAUCAAGUUACUUAUUAGGAAGGUACCUCUAAAAGGUAGCACCCCUCUAAGCCCUAUAAAGGUCUCUACUAACUAAGUUAAGGGAGAUAAGACAAUUAAUUGAUUAAUUGAGGGUACCUAGGUAGACUAAGGUGAUUUCAAAAAAUAGUAUGUCAAACAAAAUCAAAUCACAAUAAAGAAAAGUUAAGAUGCGUACCUGAAUGGCUUCUUAAGCGCCAUUAAAAGACAUCAAAGGUUAGUUUGAAAAUAUGACAUAUAACAUGCAUUUUUAUCAAAGAUGAUCAAACAAGCAUCAAGGCAAUCAAAUAUGACAUCAAACAUGGACAUGACUCAUGAUAACAUACACAUUCAUAAAAUUUUAGAGUUGGAGGGUAGAAAGAGUGUACCUGAUUAGCGAGCAUCCACACGUCUAUGGAAAACUAGGUUAGCUUAAUAACAGGUAUAAACACUUCUCAUAUAUAUCAUAAAGAAUAAUUAAAAUCAACCAAAUAUCAAACAAUCCCCUCAUUUGAAUCAAUAUUAGAGAAGAUAUCAAGAAUGUCGGACCCCCCACCAAGGUCCAAAUUGCUUUUGCACGAAUUGAUUCAAUUAUUCCUAUUAUUUAGAACCAUGAAGUUUAUUCGUGCUUGAGGAAAAUCGAGAAAAUCAAGAAAAUGGUUGAAAGUCAAAAAAAAUAGUGAAAGUGCAUGCCAAGAGGAAAAAUGGCAGCAAAAGAUUAUUGAAAUCUAGAUUUUAUUGUUUAAAGAAGAUCCGAAGAUGAUUCUCUAAAAUCAGAGUUAUUUGGAUGAAGAUGAUUUUGAAGACACAAUUCAUAACAGGUGAAAUCACGAGGAAUAUGAGAGGGGUGGAAAAAGGAAGAGGGUAGUGUGCACCAGAGUGGCCAUGUCGGAGCGAGGCUUGGGGGUUUAGCUGUAGCUAGAUUGCUGAUGGUUGUUUGAAGAGGCCUCUGUACAUUGCUGGCAUGUCUGGAGAAGAGCUGGCCAUAUCCAUUUCAGAGCAUGUGCUCACUUGCUGUCAAAGCGAUCGCCAUGGUCGGGACACAUGGGCAACAUAUAAUGAAAAAGAGGCCACAGUUGCUGUUUACAGAACCCAUGAUAAAACUUUUAUGCAGGUCAUGAGGUAAAAAUGUUGGUACAUAAUUGAAAUCCUCCAGCAGUUUCUGUGCAACUUCUUCCUGUUCACUUGCAUCUAUUUCAACCUUGAGAGACCCCACAUAAAUGACCUCUGUUUCAGGGGAGAAACCAUCCUUUAAAUGCAAUAGAAAGGCAUCUUCAUCUAAACUGAAGCACCAUUUGGCAGUCACUUUAUCUCUUUCAAGAUGCAGCCAUGGUAUUCUCUGAUUUAUCUACAGCCAUGAUGCUUUGAAAAUCCGUCGUGAGUCUUCUCAAAAAUCUGGUGAAGCCCCUCUUCAAAAAGCUGUGUUGUCCCCCUGAAAAAUCUGGUCAUUCAUUCUUUUCAAGAAAAAGGCCAUACUUCCUCUUUCAAGAUCUUCAUUCCCCAUAUUUCUGAAUUUAAAUUCCAGAAUCUCAUACGAAAAUUGAUUGGCUGCAGAUAUUUCUGACAGAUGGCUUGACUCCAACAUGUAAUAACUUUCUAUGAAUUCUGGGUUCACAUCUGGUCUUAGAAAAGUGUAGAAAAAUUCUCUUAUAUUAACAUUUGAAUUCUGUUUCUAUUGUCAACUUGCUUACAUUCAAUUUUCUUCAACUGAAUGCUCGCAUCUUAAUUGAUUUUCAGAUGUCCAGUUUACUGAAUAACUCCUCAUUCUUCAGGCGUAUCAAAUUGCCCAUAAUCAGAAAUUAACUCUCAGUCAAUAGGAUUCAGCAACUUAUUCGCGUGUGUGAAGGCAAAUGGGCAGUAAGCUAGAGACUUUCUGAUGGAUCCUGCAUUUCUGGACUUUCGAGAGUGGCUGCCAAGAAGACACCAAGCUCCACCAUCCUCUUGUUCCUCCUGAAGGCUUCUUCUCGACGGGCUUCUUCUUUGUUUUAUGAACCAGGACCUGAAUCUGGACAAAAAGGCAGCGUUUACACCAUUGACCGAAUUAAGACUUCCGACUUUUCAUUUUUUUUUUUUAUCUUGCACCAUCUAGUUGUGUUUUCUGAUCUUACACAAUUACUGUAGGAAGACGGACUUUUGCCACUUUCAGAAGGUACAUGAAACUCAGGUGUAACGCCCAUCAUCUUCCAAAUAACACAAAGAACAUCAGACGCUGUCUUCCAGGAUUUCUGUGGAGCUUUUCUUGGCUUCAACUUCAUUGUAUCUGCUUUAAAAUCGGUAUCCUUCCAGGACUUGAUAACGCAGGAACAGAAGAGAUGAUUUUUGGAAAUGAGAUUGCUACUGUUGAACCAAGAACUGCAGAUUCUGCUGUUGAACAGUCUUCCAUAGUCAGCCAACAAUGCGUGUCCCCUCAGGAAAACUUUAAAGAAUGAACUGGAGGUUGUUGACUUGAUGCUUAUAGGACUGCCUUUUCUGAUUCAUCUUGUACUUUUACAUCAUUUUCUGUUUCAUCAGUGAUCUGUCAGUAUCAGAAAGGAUAGAAAUGCAUUUUCGCUUUGAAGGAGGACCUUGGUUCUCAGCACCUCAACUCAGGCUAAGUUUGCCUGUUUGUUCCCAUGUUGAAGCAAGAAAAUAUAAAUGGCAGUAGUAUUUUCUAAGCAGCUCGGCAUGUCUUGCGUUUUGUAAUUGACUCUUGAAUUUCUCAGCCUUGAAGGAUGCUUUCGAGAUGCCCAUGGAGAACUUCAUCCUUUCCAGAAUAUACGAAAUGGAGUUGAGAGCAAGUUGAAUUCUUUUAGCUUCAUCUUUCUCAUGACAAGAAUAAACUCGAAUUCUUUAAAGUCAUUUGAAUGGGCUUGCUCAACUAUUGAUUUCUCAAAAGUUCCAUGUGGAAUGGUUUAAUGCAGAAAAUGCUAAAUUUUCCAACAUGAGGAAAAUGAGAAGAAAUGCAGGAUCUGGAAAUGAUUUGAAGCAGCUGAGGAACUCGAGCACAUAUACAUUCGGAGGUCAACAUUCUCUAAACCCAUGGUUAUUUGUCUAUUCUCUGACCUGAUGUUCAUAAGUUUCUUUAAUCACACAAUUUCAGAAACUUAAUCAAAAUAUGCGGUUUUCUGUCCAUUUUCUGGUUGCCUAUAGAGAGGUUUCUGAAUUGAUCGUCACUGGAUGAAACACAGGAGACUCAUCAAGGAUAUCUGCUGUGUGCAUUAAAUUGUUGUGCGUCUCCAAAUAAAAGUGUUCUUGGCCUCCUACUUGGAUUUCUCUUUCUAUGAUUUUCGCCAAACAUGUGAGAUAGCAAUUGGUCGAUGCUUGUGGUCCAUCUCUUUCCCUUAAAUACCCGAACUUGCCACCUCUGGUCUGUUUGAAGGUCCGUCAACUCACUAGCAAAGAGGAUAAUCAAAGUAACAUGAAUCACCUAAUUUGCAAUCACUAUUCAAGAGGUUGGUUUAGACUUCUUUGUGUCAUCUGGUGCUUUAGUAGAGCCAUUAAUUGUCGCUGCUGGGCAUUCUUAAUCUGAUCUCUAGUCGGGGGGUGGGGGGGGGGGGGGGGGGGGGGGCGGGGGAAAAAAAAUUUUUUUAAAAAGGCCCAAAAAAAUUUUUGGGGGAAUUUUAAAAUUUUUAAAACCCCUCUUUAAUUUUUUAAGGGGUUAAAAAAAAGAAAAAAAUAGGGGGGGCGGGGCCUUUUUAAAAAACGGGAAAAAUUUAGGGGUUUAAAAUUUCCCCUUUAAAAAACCAAAUUUUUUUUUCCCAAAAAAAAAAAAAAAAAAAAAGGUUUUUUUUCCCAAAAUUUUCAAUUUUAUUAAAAAACCCUUUUCNNNNNNNNNNNNNNNNNNNNNNNNNNNNNNNNNNNNNNNNNNNNNNNNNNNNNNNNNNNNNNNNNNNNNNNNNNNNNNNNNNNNNNNNNNNNNNNNNNNNGGGGGGGGGGGGGGGGGGCGCGUGGCAACAAUGAUUGUUAUAAAAGGACCAGAUUAAUCUUCUGGCUGACUUUGAAGCUUUCAGACGUCAUCUCUGAGUCUCUGAUGUGAUCAAAGCAAGGAAAAUAUCAUGGCAGUCGGGCUCUUUAUAAAAUCGGUGAUAGCUUAGGGGUUUGAAAUUGCACGCUUCAACAACCUACUAUCGUUUCUCCUAAAAAAUAAUAACAGUAACAGUGUCAUGUCUCCAAACAUCUCAAGUUCAAUCAGAGACCCUAUUCCAAUAUCUCCAAUCUGAAAUUUCUAAGUGCUCAUGCUCUGGAACCUGUGACUAUGCUACUUCAUCUCUGUUUGUGCGCGGACAAUUGAACUUUUCCUAUAAUUUUCUUUUCUGUUUUUCGAGAUUCUCCGUGCUGAAGGAGGCCUCAUGAUGAGUUAGAAUUGUCCUCUUUGGCAACGGCUCCCUUAAAAGAAACGGGAAGAAGAUCUGUAUCCCCAUUAAAAGCUCUACUAAUCCCAUAACAGUUUCAGAAUUCUGAACCAGUUGGUCUCUUAGCCGGACGAACAGAUGAAGUCUGUAUGUGAUUCCCAUUUAUUCAUCAAGAGCAAACUGAAGACUCUUGAUGUCAUAUCCCAAGCUUCAUCCCAUCCAAGUCCUUCAUCAUUCAUCAGUAAUCGCAUCAAUUCUGGAAUUGCACGGGUAGGAUGUGUAUCGUUCAACUGCACUGCUACCUUAUUGUGAAAUUCAGACCAUUGGCUUGAGCCCCCAUCUUUCCUCCUUGAAUCUGAAAAUAAUGUCCUGAAGUGAGGCAUUGCAUAGGAAAAAUUGUUGCUUUGGUUGCAAGAGCUUUCCAUUUUCUGUAGCAUCUCUAGGAUAUAGAACAACACAAAUCUGCUGAGCUCGAGAAUGAAGCUGUGCAGGAGCUUCAUAUUGCCCAUCACUAAAGUUGACCAUCUGCCCAGAAUUGCAGCAUUCUGCUCAGAAUUGCAGCAUUCUGCUCCCCUACAGCAUUCCUCAUACUAUUUUUGGUUGCUAGUAUUAAGCAAUACUGUUCAAUACUUGGAUUUAAAAAUGCAGCGUGAUUGGAUGAAAGAGUAGGCUUGUUGAUCACAGAAUCCAUUUGGCAGCCAAGCAUUAUCAGAAAAGAUAGGAAAUACUUCCCUAGUUCCUACUCUGUGAUACUUGCAAGUCAGACUCACAUCGUCUUGGAAGAACACGAUCUACAGGUUCCAAUAGCUGCAAAACAUAGACGAAAUCCCCUGCUGUGAUGGCCAUUACGUUUGCUGGAGAAUCCCAAAAAGCACUGCCUUUACCACUAAUCUUCGAACCACAACUUCAAAAGCAAAGUUGGAGAAUGUUACUUUCUGAAGCAACAGACACAGAGAAGCACUCAUAAAGAGGCAACAGUUGUUCUUUAGUAGAAAAUAUGGAUGCCAAAUUUGGGCUGCUUGUCAGUAAGUUCUGGAGAGAAGUCAAUCCAAACUGAACACUGCUUCUGUCCACUGAGGCAUUUGAUGCCACUCCUCAAAGGUCCUGUAGAGAAUAUUCAUUCAGAUCAAUAUCACCAUUGUGCAUGGCCUGACUAUAAGUGCUGGUGCCACCAUUGACAAAGGUUUGAUUGUAGGAACCUGCAAUGUGAUUGAUCAACCGAUUCUUUUCUGUAAAAUUGCCAUCCCAAUUAUAUAAUGUCUGACUCAGACCUCCAAGAUCAAUUAGAUUCAGAUUCUGAACCACCCCAUUGCAAUUCUGAGUUUCACGCCCACCAGGAAAACCCAAGAGUACUUGCCAAUUGAUUCUUCCUGACUUCAGAUAAUUUAGUUUAUGUCUUCUGUGAUUUCAUUUUUAUUUCCAAAUUGAUUUCUGCCAUCAAACUCUUGCAGUCUGCUGCCAUCCCUAUAAUCUUUUCUUUGUUGUAAGGGAUACGACAUGCAGGGCACCGAACCUCUGUUUCAUCCUCCUCAGCCAUGUUCAUUGUGUCACGCCAUCACCAAACACAUAUCUCACAACCACAUUUGCAUGGCUUCAAUUUGCUAGUCGGUCAAUUCCAUCUCUUCAGCACAGAGAGGACAAGUCUUUUCUCCUUCGUCACUCAUGGUUGUCACCAGAUACUGUUCAUCUAACUUUACCACUCUUGGUGGUACGCCUAAGAUUAUACAUCAACAUGUACGCAUCACCAGAUGAGUAUGUCUAUGAACCACUAACAAUACUACAUUCUGAAGAUUGUAGCUGACCAAUAUUUAUAUGAUUUCCAUUCAUGACACCAUUCAUUGGUUCAGUGGAAGACAGAUGAACAGAUGGCUCAGUUUGAACAGGUUUAGCAGCAGAACUUGAAGACCCCUCUCCAAAUGGAUGAUGACCCAGGUUUGAGACAUGCUCAUCAUCAAAUUCCCACCAUUGCCCUGUAUUCUCAUCUUUAAUAUGAGCUAUGUAAUGGCCACUGUUCACAGUAGUCCCCUCGUGAAUCAGCACAGCUGACAAGUCAUAUAUUAGUUCAAAAUCAGAAGGUUCAGACAACCUUUCUCUCAUAUCCAAUUCUCCAGGAAAACAGAAUGCAGAAGUGAUUAUCUUCUUUGUUGUAGUCUUUGGAAGGAAAACACAGCGCUUGAGCUGGAAAUUAAGGACAUAAGGCCGUGUGGGUAGCUUAAUGCUACGGAUGGCAUAAAACCAUUGGAUGAAUCAACAAAGUCAUUAAGUACAUUACUGAUCUCCGUGAAAACCCUUCUCCUUGCUUCUGUAGAGUGAACACAAGCUGCCACUAAAAAUUGACUAGCCCAGGUUGCUAGUUUAUGCAUCCAAUCAUCAUCAAUUUUUCUUUUUUUUCUUUGUUUUUUGGAACUUCUGGAAUAUGGAAGAAACCUAUGAAAAAUAUGGUGGGAUAUUCCAGUAGUGCAGUACACAAUAGGACCCCUUUCUCAAUUGUCAGGUGGCUCCCCAUUCUGCCUUCUCCUAUCUGCUGAAUCAAUCAAUCCGUCCUUGAGAAUAGCUCUAAGCCGUUUAGACCCAGGUACAGAUGAAAUUCUCUCCCAAGUUACAGUGUCCCUAAGCCAACACAAGCAGAUAACACAUUCACCAGUGUGAUCUCAUUCAGUUUCACGGACUGCCUUCAUGAGACAGUAUAAAUCAAUUUCUUCCUCAGAAAGUCCACACUGCACAUAUCCCGUAAUGAUGGCAUUCCAAGGGGGGCGACUUCUUACAAGAAACACCAUCAAAGAUUUUUCAAGCUUUCUUCACAUUCCCGCACUUGGAAUACAGAUCAUUGUUACCGCAUCGAGCAGGACCUCAUCAGCCGAAAUAAGCAUCCGGAAGACAAACUCGACAUCUCCACAAAAUCCCUUUCUUCCCCAUACACGUUUAUCAUUGCAGUCUGGAAAACCACAUUCCUUCUCAUUGGUAUUUCUUCAAACAACUCCCACGCUCCUCAAUCUCCCCUCAGUGUACAUACCAUGAAAUGAUCGAAUUUUGAGAAGCCACAUCUCUAAUCCCCAUAUGAAGAGCUCAUGGCCAUGUGACGGGUAGGAGGAAAAACAUAAACAAGUAUAGUGGAGAGUAGAGGAAACAAAGAGAGAACAAACAUGCGAGAUUGAAAUAAGAUAAAGCCACAUCUCAUGAUCUUUCAAUGGGCUCAGGCUAGUGGGGAAGAUCACAAACAGAUUUGGGACAAAAUAAGUACGCAACCAAUAUCAACAAAACAAUUUGUGGCCCUUUCCAUCCACACCAAUCAGCAGUACAUUAAAUAUUCAGAAACGAACACACGGAGAAAUCGAAUAUGGGUAAGAAUUCCAAGAGUAACAAGAAGCAUACUCGGACAGCCUUGGUUGCAAUUGCUCCUUUCCCGCUUCCUCUGUGCUUCUCCCAAAAAUCCCCCUCCCUCUUCUGUUCUGCCCCCACACUUUUAAAAUCCCUCUCUUGCGUCUUUGUAUCAGUUUUUUUUUGUUUUCCUUUUGUAACCGAUUCCACCAUGGAAAUAAUAUAUGUGCUAUCCCUCUAAAAACAAAAUCUCCUCUUUUUCAAAAUUCUGUUGAUUCUCCUUCCAAAUAGAUGGCGGCCCGUUCCUUAUGCCCAAAAAGCCAAAAAAUAUGAUUUAGAAAACUUGUAAUAAAAUGAAAUUAAAAUAAUAAAGAAAGUCAUACAAGUCACACAAGUCAUUUAGGUCAUGCAAUCAUGUAAGUCAUAUAAAAAGUGAGUCUAAAAGUACUUAAGUGGGCCUAAGUGAGCUUAAGUGGGCCUAAGUGAACUAAGCUCGAUGAAGUGUCUAAGUGGGCCUAAGACGUUUAGGAUAGUGCCUAAGUCUAAAUUAGAGCCGUCAAGGUCAUAAUGUGGAGUCGGAUAAACCCUUCAACCAAAGUCUCCAAAGUGGCUCAGAAAAUAUAAGUAGUAAUGAAUAGCAAUGGGCCACCAAGGAACUACUGUGGAGCACUGGAAGCGAACUUAAAGAUAUGUGCUAAAUGGAUAAAAUUGAGGGUCUACAACAACCUUCUCAAGGUAGUUUAUGCAAUUAUUCUUGAUUUUCUUCUCAUUUAUUUUAUUACAUUUUCAUUUCUAUAUCAUGUAAACCCAAUUCAACAUUUUCAUCUCCCAUCUGAGAAAGCAUUGUGGUUUUUCUUAAUCUAUGUUGAGAGCAGUUACACAUAUCUCAGGGCAAAACACCCCUGUUUCCUUAGUUCAUAGACUUUUCAGUAGCUUGACAUUCAUGAUGACUUUGUGAUCUUACUGCAUGCAGCCAGAUUUAACAGCCCCAGGCGACAUGGUCACCAAUUUUUCCCAUCUCCGAAGUACCUGGUGAUAAUCGAGUAGCGCAAUAUAACUGGCACGUCAAUGGCUUGCCCACAUGCUACUGGGGCAGCUGCCUACAUCAAGUCAUUUCACCCCACCUGGUCUCCUACUGCUAUUAAGUCUGCUCUUAUGACUAUUGGUAAUGUCUAAUUUUAUUCCUAACCUUUAAAAUUAUGAAAGGGUUGAUAAUAUGGAUCUCUGUUCUUUGUGUGUUUGUAGCUACUCCCAUGAGUGCUAAAAAAAAAAAUCCGGAAGCCAAAUUUGCAUAUGGUGCAGGCAAUAUAGAUCCUGGUCUGGUAUAUGAUGCCGAUGAGAUUGACUAUGUAAAAUUUUUGUGUGGGCAAGGUUAUAGUACUCGGGCUCUAUGGCCGGGGGUAAUUGUGUCUGUUCUACCGCUACAAAUGGAACCGUUUGAAAUCUAAAUUACCCUUCCUUUGCUCUUUCCAGCGUCACCAAGGAAUCCAUCACUGGCAUGUUCAGUAGGACUGUCACAAACAUUGGAUCAUCGGUGUCCACGUAUAAAGCAACUGUUAUAGGUGCUUCAGAGGGACUCGAAAUCCAAGUUGAACCAAGCAUUUUAUCAUUCACAUCCCUCAUGCAGAAGCUAUCCUUUGUGUUGAAGGUUGAAGGAAAGGUAGGUGACAACAUAGUCUCUGCUUCUUUGGUGUGGGAUGAUGGUGUACAUCAAGUGAGGACCCCCAUUGUUGUAUUAGCCCUCACAUAAAAUUCCAGAAUCCUGGUGUUCUUGUGGUACUAUCUAUAACAUUAAAAAUAAAUGAUGCGGCAAGUACAACAUUUUACUUGAUUUAAGAUCUUCAAUCUUGUUUAGCUGCUUUUCCACCAUCUUUAUAUGGAACUUUUUAAAAAUCUCUCCAAAUGUGACCUUGGGCUUUUCUUAAUAUCCACACAAGAAAACAUUUGAGUUUUUGAUAAGGAAAAUGAUAGUAUGGACAGAAACAACAUUGGAUCAACCCAGCUUGUGCAAAAGUUUCUCCCUUGAAAGAGAUUCUUGAGUUCAACACUCACAAAUUUUUUGUAGAAAGUACAAACACACCCUCAAAUAUCAUUGUCAUUAAUAAGAUAUCCCUCGAAUUGGAAUACAUGGAACCAAAUUAAACCAAUAUUAUCUUUAUACUAGAAAAGUUGGAAUUGGGCUUUGUUGUAACUUUUGUUAUAUUUUGUUAUUUUUAUUUUUGAAAAUAUUUACGAAAGUACCAUUGCUUUCCUUUCAUAUAUAGGAUGGGAUAAUGAUAAUUAUCAAUUAAAUGCAGGUCGAAAGAUGUGGUAUGGCAGCAACGUGUAUUGCGUUUGGAAAGCUCCUCUUUCCCGGCCAAAAAGGCUCAUUUUCCACAAUUUCAUGAAGCCUCUCUUUUUCCUUUACUUUGUUACUUUCAAAUUAGAACAAUUUACUUAGAUUAAGGCGGUAGGGAUGAAUCACCUGUGGGAGUGACCCAAAUUCUAAUUGCUACACCAAUCAACAUUGAUAGAAAAAGUGGUGACGUAUUAUGGGAAUCGUAAUCAACUGUCGGUGGGCUGACGCAACCUUCCCACCCUCCUUUUCUCCAACAACGUGAGUCACAUGCUUGAGACCUUCUAUGGCAAAACAAUUAUAUCAUGCACCUUUGGAUGAUAUAAAACAAUUAUAUAAAAGAAUUAUUUUAUAUCUAACACGUACCUUUGGAUGCUAAAGAAAUUUUAUGUCAGAUACAUGUUUUAGUGGUAAUCAAAGGCACAAAAAAGCACACUUAUGGGAAUAUAAAAUUUAUUUAAAUAAUUGGAGUGAGAAAAAAAAUGAAAAAUAUUUCUCUGCUAGAAAUUAGGAUCCAACAUUGUUAAAUAGGAUUUUGAGAUGGUAAUUUUACAAAAAAAGUUAGUAAUAAUAUCCUAAAAAUAAAUUGAAGGGUAUUAAUAAUGGGAUGAAAUUCUAAAGAUGAAGUCUAUUGAUGCUCUCUCUCUCUCUUUGUAUAGUCUUCGAGCUUUAUUCAUAACUUUUAACAAAAUUCUUCCUCAAAAGAAGCUUAUGAAGCGACAAUAAUAAUAAAAAAGAUUGAAUUAUUGGAAGAGAUGUAAAGUAGAUGUUGAAUAUAACUUUAACAAAAUUCUUCCUCAAAAGGAGCGACAAUAAUAAUAAAAAAGAUUGAAUUAUUGGAAGGGAUGUAAUGGGAUGUUGAUAAUGGGAUGUUGAUGGGCAUAUCUUUUAAUGAAAAAAAGUCUUUGGUAUUAUGGGGGAUGACUGGUGAGUCUUUUGAUUUAUCCGUGCAUUGCUCUUUAUUCUUUUAUCUUUUUAAAUACAAAUUAUUGGAAAUGUCCUGGAAGGUGUAACAUUAGAUUAAAAGAGAAAAAGGAUUGGGAGGCUCAUGUGUAUAUAUGUAUAGAUGUCCAAGCACCACGAAGCGCAUAGCUUACCAUCAUCUAAUGGCAAGACAAAAAAACUCUUCUCUGUGGUUUCUCCUUCUCAGUCUCAUCUGCAGUCUGCUCAGUACCCACAGUACUGCAGCAGCUUCCGAGGAUGAUGUUCGAAAGGCAAGAAACACCCAUCUCUCUCUUGCUUUUUCUUAAUUAAUGGCUUGGUCAAUAUUCCAUGAACCAUACAUGCAUGCAUGGCGGAAAAAUUAAGAUUAAUCUUGCGCUGAAAAUCAUGCUUGAGUAGUGUUAAUAAACUGGAUUUGCACCCAACAUAUAUAUUAUGGAUGCAGGAGUAUAUUGUGUACAUGGGUGCCAAGCCUGCCGGAGAUUUCUCGGCGUCUGCCAUUCACACCAACAUGCUGGAGCAAGUCUUUGGCAGGUCAGUAUUCACCUUUUGUUUUUUUUUCUAUUUUUCUAUUUUUGUUUUUUUAUUUGUUUUAUUUAUUACAUAUAUGGUACCUAAUUUUCCCCAUGGAAUGCCUUUUCAGCGGUAGGGCAUCAAGUUCUUUAGUCCGCAGUUACAAAAGGAGUUUCAAUGGAUUUGUAGCAAAGCUAACAGAGGAUGAAAUGCAGCAAAUGAAAGGUGCGUGGGUGGGUUUAAAUCUUUCUGUAAUUGAAGUAACUCAUGUGUGUAAUGGCUACAAAAUUAACUGUAACUUUGGAGUUUCAGGCAUGGACGGGGUGGUCUCGGUUUUCCCUAGCGAAAAGAAACAGCUCCACACAACUAGGUCGUGGGAUUUCGUGGGGUUUCCCCGACAAGUUAAAAGAACAAGUUUUGAAAGCGACAUUAUCAUAGGAGUGCUUGACGGUGGAAUAUGGCCAGAGUCUGACAGCUUCGAUGAUAAAGGAUUUGGCCCACCGCCAAGGAAAUGGAAGGGCACUUGCCAAGGGUUUUCCAAUUUCACUUGCAACAAGUAAAUCUCACUCGCAACAGAGUGUCUAAAUACCCUGUUAAAAAAGUUUAAAUAUAUCCUAUCCUUGUUCCUUAACAAAACUUUCCACCGAUGUUAUUGCAGUAAAAUUAUUGGAGCCAAGUACUAUAAGAGCGAUAGAAAAUUUAGCCCAGAAGAUUUGCAAUCCCCAAGAGAUUCAGACGGCCACGGGACACACACUGCAUCCACUGCAGCUGGGGGCCUAGUCAACAUGGCAAGUCUCAUGGGCUUUGGCUUAGGAACUGCUCGGGGCGGAGUUCCAUCAGCUCGGAUAGCAGUGUAUAAGAUAUGUUGGUCUGAUGGCUGUGAUGAUGCUGAUAUUCUCGCAGCAUUUGAUGAUGCAAUUGCUGAUGGGGUUGAUAUAAUCUCUUAUUCACUUGGGAAUCCCCCUUCCCGGGAUUAUUUUAAAGAUACUGCUGCAAUCGGUGCUUUUCAUGCAAUGAAAAAUGGGAUACUAACAUCAACUUCUGCUGGUAACGAUGGACCUCGCCUUGUUUCCGUCGUAAAUGUCGCGCCAUGGUCUCUUUCCGUGGCUGCUAGCACCAUAGAUCGGAAGUUCUUGACCGAGGUGCAACUAGGUGACAAGAAGGUUUAUAAGGUGAGUAAACUUGCUCACACUUUGGACUAAUAACCAUCACAUUCAAAUAUCAUUUAUUAAAGAAAUUAGAUUUCAACUACGUGGAUCUGAUUUUUGGAGGUGGAGGUUAUAUCAUUGCCCUUUGUGUAGGGAUUUUCGAUAAACGCAUUUGAGCCCAAUGGCAUGUAUCCUUUGAUUUAUGGUGGGGAUGCCCCGAAUACUAGAGGAGGUUUUAGAGGGAACACAUCCAGGUACUUAUUAUUAAAGAAUGAAAAAUAAUUAAUUGAAAAUGAAAACCGUACGUUAGAAAUCCUGAAUUUUAAAGUGUGUGAUAGAUUACAGGACUUUCAUCACUGAAAUGCAGGUUUUGCGAAAUAAACUCAUUGAACCCAAAUUUAGUGAAGGGUAAAAUUGUCCUUUGCAUUGGGCUUGGCGCUGGGUUUAAAGAAGCAUGGAGUGCAUUCUUGGCAGGUGCCGUUGGGACUGUGAUAGUGGAUGGACUCCGACUCCCCAAAGAUUCCAGCAAUAUUUAUCCCUUGCCUGCAUCUCGCCUUAGUGCAGGAGAUGGUAAAAGAAUUGCCUACUACAUCAGCUCAACAAGGUAUCGAUUAACACAGCUUCCUACUUUUAUUUGGAGAUGACUGUAAAUUAUACAAGUGAUAUGCUUUAGAAUUUGUACGGCAUAUAUGUACUCAGUCUUAGUCUUACUACAUUUAAACAGUAACCCAACUGCAUCGAUUUUGAAGAGUAUUGAGGUUAAGGACACAUUGGCCCCAUAUGUACCCUCCUUCUCAUCAAGGGGUCCAAACAAUAUUACACACGACCUUCUCAAGGUAGCUUAUGCCAUUAUUCUUGAUUUUCUUCUCAUUUAUCCCAUGACAUGUUCAUCUCUAUAUCAUGUAAACCCAACUCAACAUUUUCACCUCCCAUUUGAGAAAACACAGGGGUUUUUUUCUUAAUCUAUGUUGAGAACGGUUACGCAUACCUCAGACCAAAUCACCCUUUUCCUUAGUUCAUAAAGACUUUCUAGAAGCUUGACAUUCAUGAUGACUUUGUGAUCUUACUGCAUGCAGCCAGAUUUAACAGCCCCAGGUGUACACAUUCUGGCUGCCUGGUCACCAAUUUCUCCAAUCUCUCAAAUGAGUGGUGAUAAUCGAGUAGCGCAAUACAAUAUAUUAAGCGGCACGUCAAUGGCUUGUCCACAUGCUACUGGGGCAGCUGCCUACAUCAAGUCAUUUCACCCCACCUGGUCUCCUGCUGCUAUUAAGUCUGCUCUUAUGACUACUGGUAAUGACUGAAUUUUAUUCCCGGCCUUUCAAAUUAUGAAAGAGGUGAUAGUAAUGGAUUUUAGUCCUUUGUGUGUUUUGUAAGCAGCUACUCCCAUGAGCGCUAGAAAAAAUCCGGAAGCCGAAUUUGCAUAUGGUGCAGGCAAUAUUGAUCCUGUAAGGGCUGUGCACCCUGGUUUAGUGUAUGAUGCCGAUGAGAUUGACUUUGUAAAUUUUUUGUGUGGAGAAGGCUAUAGUAUUCAGACUCUACGGAAAGUCACCGGGGAUCAUAGUGUCUGUUCGAAAGCUACGAAUGGAGCCGUUUGGGAUCUAAAUUACCCGUCCUUUGCUCUUUCCAUCCCCUACAAAGAAUCAAUCGCUCGCACGUUCAAAAGGAGUGUCACAAAUGUUGGAUUACCAGUAUCCACAUAUAAAGCAACUGUUAUUGGUGCCCCAAAGGGACUCAAAAUCAAC
rnacentral:lncRNA from 1 species